UCCUGUACCAGUGCUAAUUGUUUAACCGAUGGGGUGACACAGAAGGAUAGGGAAUCGCACGAAUGGAAAUGUGCGUCCAAGCAGUGAGUGUGAGAAGUAGGCAAAUCCGCUUCUCGCGAAGCAUGAGCUGUGAUGGGGAAGGAAAUUAAGUACGGAAGUUCCUGAUUUCACGCUGUCAAGAAAAGCCUCUAGGAAGAGUAGUACUGCCCGUACCGCAAACCGACACAGGUAGAUGAGGAGAGAAUCCUAAGGUGAGCGAGAGAACUCUCGUUAAGGAACUCGGCAAAAUGACCCCGUAACU
rnacentral:rRNA from 1 species